UUGCUUUGGCAGCACAUAUACUAAAUUUAGAACAAUACAGAGAAGAUUAGCCUGGCCCCCGUGCAAGGAUGAAAUGCAAAUUCAUGAAGCAUUCCAUAUUUAU